rnacentral:rRNA from 1 species
GACGAACGCUGGCGGCGUGCUUAACACAUGCAAGUCGAACGGAAAGGCCCUGCUUUUGUGGGGUGCUCGAGUGGCGAACGGGUGAGUAACACGUGAGUAACCUGCCCUUGACUUUGGGAUAACUUCAGGAAACUGGGGCUAAUACCGGAUAGGAGCUCCUGCGGCAUGGUGGGGGUGGGAAAGUUUCGGGGGUUGGGGAUGGACUCGCGGCUUAUCAGCUUGUUGGUGGGGUAGUGGCUUACCAAGGCUUUGCCGGUUAGCCGGCCUGAGAGGGUGACCGGCCACAUUGGGACUGAGAUACGGCCCAGACUCCUACGGGAGGCAGCAGUGGGGAAUAUUGCACAAUGGGCGGAAGCCUGAUGCAGCAACGCCGCGUGCGGGAUGACGGCCUUCGGGUUGUAAACCGCUUUCGCCUGUGACGAAGCGUGAGUGACGGUAAUGGGUAAAGAAGCACCGGCUAACUACGUG